AACAGCGGUCGCUAUAUGACGUCUGCCACGUCGCAGUCAUGUGACGCGGAAAUGACACCAAUGGACGGAACUUCCGCCAAAAUUCAAAUCCGUAGGCGUGGCUUUCAACAGGAAACCGGCAUUGGCGGCGAACGAGACAGCGGAUAGUAACACGACGACUAACAAGAGAAAUAUUUUUAUUUUCUGCUUGCAACUGGACCGUCUAGAGCGUACACGAUAAGCGGGUAUUACGUCGCAGUCAUGUGCCGCGGGAAUGACGUCAAUUGGCGGAAAUCCCGCCAAGAUUCAAAUCUGUGGGCGCGGAUUGCCGUGAGCGAGACAGCGGAUACAAACACGACGAUUAUGAACAGAAAUAUCUUUAUUUUCUGCUUGCAACUAGACCGUCUAGAGCGUACACGAUAAGCGGGUAUUACGUCGCAGUCAUGUGCCGCGGGAAUGACGUCAAUUGGCGGAAAUCCCGCCAAGAUUCAAAUCUGUGGGCGCGGAUUGCGGUGAGCGAGACAGCGGAUACAAACACGACGAUUAUCAACAGAAAUAUCUUUAUUUUCUGCUUGCAACUGGACCGUCUAGAGCGUACACGAUAAGCGGGUAUUACGUCGCAGCCAUGUGCCGCGGGAAUGACGUCAAUUGGCGGAAAUCCCGCCAAGAUUCAAAUCUGUGGGCGCGGAUUGCCGUGAGCGAGACAGCGGAUACAAACACGACGAUUAUCAACAGAAAUAUCUUUAUUUUCUGCUUGCAACUGGACCGUCUAGAGCGUACACGGUUCCACGGUGUUCUUUGGCUGUAUGUUUUCCACUG